rnacentral:misc_RNA from 1 species
GUGAAAAUUUCAACCGUUUUCCUAGUAUAAAAGCUUUGUUAGACCACAAUGAGUCUUUCAUGCUAAGGUUCCCAUUAAAUAGAGCUGCUAUCACCUUAUCCCAAUAGAUUGAGUGAAUUUUUGAAGUAUCAUCAACUCCUACUCGAAGAAAAUCUCAAUCGAUUUGUAUGGAUUUUGGAAUAAACAAGGGCAUGAAGUAAGAAGGGAGACUAGAAAAAUAUUGUUUGUUGGUAUAAUCUUGCCACCCUAGGAAGGCUUUGAGAUUGUGGACUUCACAAUAUCUUUACGAAAUUUUCAAUCACUAGCUUGUGUACCUUUGGAUUUAAAAGAAGCACCCAAAUAUAAUCCAAGUUCCAACCAUCCAAAAUAGGUUAGAGGAAGCUUCCCAACUUUACACCAUAAAAUGGAAGUUAAACUAUCAAAAUAAACAUAACCUUUGUAAUCAUUUCACUCAGCCAAGUCAAAUCUUCAAUUCCCAAUUAUUUCAUGGGAUAAUAAUAUACUUUUAAACUACAUCAACUUUGUAUCACAAAGUAGGAUAGUGUCGUGGGCAUGGCGAAUGUG